rnacentral:rRNA from 1 species
AGUCAGUCGAUCCUAAGCCCUAGGAGAAAUCCGAAGAGAAUGGUUGCCGUUAAUGUUGCUAUAAGCGCGCAUCGCGCCGCCGGUCCGGGAGGAGCUUUUUCUUUUUUUUCUCUUUAAAGGGAAAACUGAGAGGGCCCGACCGUCGACCGGCGGCGCGGCGCUACCAAGUCGCAGGCACCGUUCGGGCGAAAGGGAA